rnacentral:rRNA from 1 species
GCAAUGGACGCAAGUCUGACCCAGCCAUGCCGCGUGCAGGAUGACUGCCCUAUGGGUUGUAAACUGCUUUUGUUUGGGAAGAAACCCCCGAUCGUGAUCGGGGCUGACGGUACCAUACGAAUAAGCAUCGGCUAACUCCGUGCCAGCAGCCGCGGUAAUACGGAGGAUGCAAGCGUUAUCCGGAUUCAUUGGGUUUAAAGGGUGCGCAGGCGGAAUAUUAAGUCAGUGGUGAAAUCCUGCAGCUUAACUGUAGAACUGCCAUUGAUACUGAUAUUCUUGAAUAUAGUUGAGGUAGGCGGAAUGUGUAAUGUAGCGGUGAAAUGCUUAGAUAUUACACAGAACACCAAUUGCGAAGGCAGCUCACUAAACUAAUAUUGACGCUGAGGCACGAAAGCGUGGGUAGCAAACAGGAUUAGAUACCCUGGUAGUCCACGCUGUAAACUAUGAUCACUCGCUGUUGGCAAUACAUCGUCAGCGGCUGAGCGAAAGCAUUAAGUGAUCCACCUGGGGAGUACGGUCGCAAGAUUGAAACUCGAAGGAAUUGACGGGGGCCCGCACAAGCGGAGGAACAUGUGGUUUAAUUCGAUGAUACGCGAGGAACCUUACCUGGGCUUAAAUGCAGAGCGACGUCCGCCGAAAGGUGGAUUCCUUCGGGCGAUCUGCAAGGUGCUGCAUGGUUGUCGUCAGCUCGUGCCGUGAGGUGUCGGGUUAAGUCCCAUAACGAGCGCAACCCUUAUCGUUAGUUGCCAGCGGGUAAUGCCGGGGACUCUAACGAAACUGCCGGUGUAAACCGUGAGGAAGGUGGGGAUGACGUCAAAUCAGCACGGCCCUUAUGUCCAGGGCUACACACGUGUUACAAUGGUCGGUACAGAGGGCAGCUACCACGCGAGUGGAUGCUAAUCUCGAAAACCGGUCUCAGUUCGGAUUGAAGUCUGCAACUCGACUUCAUGAAGCUGGAUUCGCUAGUAAUCGCGCAUCAGCCAUGGCGCGGUGAUACGUUCCCGGGCAUUGUACACACCGCCCGUCAAGCCAUGGAAGCUUGGGGUACCUGAAGUCCGUAACC